rnacentral:rRNA from 1 species
GGCUUUCUGCUGCUACACCGCCUAACGGAUGGCUUGGCUUGGGUGCCGAAGAAGGGCGCGGCAAACGGCGAUAUGCCCCAGGUAGGUGCAUGCAACCGUUGAUCUGGGGAUGCCCAAAUGGGACCUCCUGCGUCGGGCUAACAACCCGGCGCAUCUCGUUGAGGGAGGGGAACUCCCCGAACGGAAACAUCUCAGUAGGGGAAGGAGGAGAAACCAUCAGGGAUCUCCUGAGUAGGGGCGACCCAAAGGGAGACAGCUCAAAUCGAAUCUGGCCCGUAAGGGCUCAGAGAUGUGAGGUGAGGUAGCCGUUAGCGCCCGGCUCUCCUGAGCCGAAGCGGUCUGGAAGGACCCACCAAAGAGGGCGAUGGUCCCGUAGGUGAAGGGAGGGUGGGCGUGGUUACCUCAAGAGUACCACGGCUUAGUUUUGUCGUGGGAAGACGGGAGGUAGCGACUUCUAAAGCUAAAUACACCCCAAGACCGAUAGCGGAGCAGUACUGUGAAGGAACGCUGAAAAGUACCCCGGAAGGGGGGUGAAAAGAGCCUGAAAUUAGGCGGUUAUAUGCGAUGGGGCUCAAAAGGUAGGCUUUCCCGAAGGAAGCCACGGCGACGUGGUUGUACGAGGGAGAGCUGUUCCAGGGUUCCAUCGUUCGUCUAGGAGCACGAGCCAGGGAGUUCAUGGAAGCGGCGAGCUUAAGGGGUUAAAACCCCGAAGGCGAAGGGAAACCGACUUGCCCGCAGCGGUGAAAGCCGUGAGGGGCGGGGUCUGAAAGGGCCUGAAGUCGCUUUCAUGAGACCCGAAACCGGACGAGCUUGACCUGGGCAGGGCGAAGCCGGGCUAACGCUCGGUGGAGGCCCGAAGGGGUUCUAACUUGCAAGUUGUUCCUCUGACCUGGGUCAAGGGGCAAAAGACCAAUCUAGCCCGGUGAUAGCUGGUUCCUCCCGAAGUGUGUCUCAGCACAGCC